AUGAUAGCACCCACAUUGGACCCAGCGGACGAUCAAUUUUGCCGUGAGUUGGAGGAUUUAUUAUGGUUCAUUAUGAAAGCAAUGGAUUUUUGGGAGAACAUUCCCAGCAGGAAGGAGCAGGAGGCUAUCGUGGGGCGUACACGCAGGGCUGUCUCUUCAAGGCCCGAGUUGGAGGACGCCUUGCCCGAGUGGGCAGUUGAGCUGCUCAGCCCCACAGUCUUUUGGCCUGAGAGCUACAUGCCGGUGCCACCGGACUUUUGUGACCGGCCUAAGCCUCCACGCUCCUACUCUCACCCUCUGCCCCCGGUUCCCCGCUACCAGCCUCUGCCUCCGGUUCCCCGCUCUCAGCCUCUGCCCCCGGCCCCACGCUACCAGCCUCUGCCCCCGGCCCCCCGCUACCAGCCUCUGCCCCCGGCCCCCCGCUACCAGCCUCUGCCCCCGGCCCCCCGCUACCAGCCUCUGCCCCCGGUCCCUAGCUACCAGCCUCUGCCCCCGGUCCUCCCCUACCGGCCUCUGUCCCCGGUCCUCCCCUACAGGCCUCUGCCCCCGGCCCCCCGCUACCAGCCUCUGCCCCCGGCCCCCAGCUACCAGCCUCUGUCCCCGGUCCCUAGCUACCAGCCUCUGUCCCCGGUCCUCCCCUACCGGCCUCUGCCCCCGGCCCCCCGCUACCAGCCUCUGCCCCCGGCCCCCCGCUACCAGCCUCUUCCCCCGGUCCCUAGCUACCAGCCUCCUCCCUUGCGGACAAUCAGAGUGGGGGUGGUGAGUUUUGGGUACCACCCGGUUCCUCCUGGCACUCCAGCACCCGCACUAACUCCGGUCCCCGAGCCCUGUCCGGUUCCUGAGCCCACUCCGCUCCUUCCAGAGGGGGACCGGCCUCUGCUCCUGCUGGAGGGGGUCCGCCCUCCAGACCGUCCAGGGGAGGCACGCCCUCCGCUCCUGCCUGUGGGGGCCCUCCUCCACUCCUUCCCGAGGGGGGUUCCUCUUCAAGGCCUUCCAGAGGGGUCCCGCCUUCCAAACCUUUUGGAAGGGGCACGCCCUCUUCCUCCAGAGGGGACCAGCCCUCUACCUUGCCUUCCUGAGGGGUCCCGCCUUCCAGAGGGGGUCCGCCCUCUACCUCGCCUACCUCCAGAGGGGACCAGCCCUCUACCUGGCCUUCCUACAGAGGGGGUCCGCCCUCUACCUGGCCUUCCUACAGAGGGGACCCGCCCUCUACCUGGCCUUCCUACAGAGGGGACCCGCCCUCUACCUGGCCUUCCUACAGAGGGGACCCGUCCUCUACCUGGCCUUCCACCAGAGGGAACCCGCCCUCUUCCUGGCCUUCCACCAGAGGGGGCCCGCCCUCUACCUGGCCUUCCACCAGAGGGGGCCCGCCCUCUACCUGGCCUUCCACCAGAGGGGACCCGUCCUCUACCUGGCCUUCCACUAGAGGGGAUCCGCCCUCUACCUCUCCUUCCUCCAGAGGGGACCCGCCCUCCACCUCGCCUUCCUCCUGAGGGGACCCGCCCUCUACCUCGCCUUCGCCGGCCUCCUGAAGGUUUCCGCCUUCGCCACUGCUGGCCUUCAGAGGGGUCUCCUUGCCGCUGCAGGCCUCCUGAGGGACUGAGCCCUCAUCGUCCUUGCCGCCGGCCUCCUGAAGGGUUCCGCCUUCACUCUGCCUCUGCUUGCCCCCCAGGCCGUCCGCCUGAGGCUCCCUGCCAUGCCCUGGGGCAGUUUUCUGGCCGCCGCCUGACGUCCCUCCGCUCUGCCCCAGUCCAUUUAUUUUUUUUUGAUUCCCCCCUCCUGGCGCCCCUCCACCCACCCGUUUUGGGUUUGACUUUCUUCGUUUUUUUGCUUGUCGUGGGUCGCCUGGGAGUCGACCCUUAA
ensembl:lncRNA